rnacentral:rRNA from 1 species
UCCUACGGGACGCAGCAGUGGGGAAUAUUGCACAAUGGGCGAAAGCCUGAUGCAGCAACGCCGCGUGAAGGAAGAAGGCCUUCGGGUCGUAAACUUCUGUCCUUGGGGAAGAAGAUGACGGUACCUGACUAAGAAGCCCCGGCUAACUACGUGCCAGCAGCCGCGGUAAUACGUAGGGGGCAAGCGUUAUCCGGAUUUACUGGGUGUAAAGGGAGCGUAGACGGCGAUGCAAGCCAGAUGUGAAAGCCCGGGGCUCAACCCCGGGACUGCAUUUGGAACUGUGUGGCUGGAGUGUCGGAGAGGCA